rnacentral:misc_RNA from 1 species
AAGUCGUAACAAGGUUUCCGUAGGUGAACCUGCGGAAGGAUCAUCAAUGAAUUCCAAUAUUCAACCUGGCUUUGGUGACCUUUUGGACAUGUGCCGGAAGGUUGUCACUGCCUAUCAACCACCAGUCUCUGUCUUUUCGCGAAGGUGUCUUUUGUUAAGCAAGAGCCCUUUUUGCAAUAGACUUUGACUUUUUUUGAGAUUGGCAGGUUCGCUUGUGGUUUUUGGGCUUGGUUUGACCAGCCUUGGCAACUUGCAACCUCUAAUUCUCGUCAUUGUGGGCAACACAAAUUUGAAAUUAAAAUACAACUUUUAACGAUGGAUCUCUUGGCUCCC